rnacentral:rRNA from 1 species
AACCGCCUAUAUACCGCCGUCAUCAGCCUACCCCGUGAGGAAACUGUAGUAGGCUUAAGCGCCACUAAUCCAAAAUGUCAGGUCGAGGUGUAGCGCAUGGAAAGGGAUGAAAUUGGCUACAUUUAGUGCACCCACUAUAUACGAACGAUGAGUUGAAACACCCAACAGAAGGUGGAUUUAGCAGUAAGAGGAAAACAGAGAGUUCCCCUGAAAUCGGCUCUGAAGUGCGUACACACCGCCCGUCACUCUCCCCGAAAAUUAAUACCUAUAUCCAUAAUACACCACCGCCAGAAAGGGGAGGCAAGUCGUAACAUGGUAAGUGUACCGGAAGGUGCACUUGGCAAAAUU